UACGAAGGGGCUAGCGUUGCUCGGAAUCACUGGGCGUAAAGGGUGCGUAGGCGGGUCUUUAAGUCAGGGGUGAAAUCCGUGGAGUCAACUCCAGAACUGCCUUUGAUACUGAAGAUCUUGAGUUCGGGAGAGGUGAGUGGAACUGCGAGUGUAGAGGUGAAAUUCGUAGAUAUUCGCAAGAACACCAGUGGCGAAGGCGGCUCACUGGCCCGGUACUGACGCUGAGGUGCGAAAGCGUGGGGAG
rnacentral:rRNA from 1 species